UUAACGAGAGCUAAUGCACUUCAUUGUUAUUGAAGAUUUUAAAGGAAAUUCUUUUCGUUAAU
rnacentral:tRNA from 1 species